rnacentral:rRNA from 1 species
UACUGUUUACUAUUGGUAAUGGGGGACGGAGAAGGCUAGGUUGGCCGGAUUUUGGUUACCGGUUUAAAUAUUCGAGGUGUUGCUAGUUGGCGAAAACAACUUGAGCUGAGAUAUGAAUAGGAAAGUACUAAGGUACUAAACCAACUGAUGUCAUACUUCCAAGAAAAGCCCUAACUAUCAUAAGCAAUAAAUACCUGUACCCUAAACCGACACAGGUGGGUAAGUAGAGUAUACUAAGGGGCGCGAGAUAACUCUCUCUAAGGAACUCGGCAAAAUGGCCUCGUAACUUCGGGAGAAGAGGUGCCCUUAAACGGGCUGCAAGAACCAGACGCUGGCGACUGUUUAUCAAAAACACAGGUCUCCGCAAAGUCGUAAGACGAUAUAUGGGGGCUGACACCUGCCCAGUGCCGGAAGGUUAAGGAAGCUUGUUAGUCUUUGACGAAGCUCGCGACCGAAGCCCCGGUGAACGGCGGCCGUAACUAUAACGGUCCUAAGGUAGCGAAAUUCCUUGUCGGGUAAGUUCCGACCCGCACGAAAGGUGUAACGAUCUGCGUACUGUCUCGGAGAGAGACUCGGCGAAAUAGACUUGUCUGUGAAGAUGCGGACUACCUGCACCUGGACAAAAAGACCCUAUGAAGCUUUACUGUAGCUUGAUAUUGGCUCCGGGCUUUGUUUGCGCAGGAUAGGUGGGAGGCGUUGAAAGUUUUCUUGCGGGAAAAUUGGAGCCAUUGGUGAGAUACCACUCUAACAAUGCUAGGAUUCUAACCCUAUACCGUUAUCCGGUUAGGGGACAGUUUCAGGUGGUCAGUUUGACUGGGGCGGUCGCCUCCUAAAAGGUAACGGAGGCGUGCAAAGGUUUCCUCAGGCUGGUCGGAAAUCAGUCGUAGAGUGUAAAGGCAUAAGGAAGCUUGAUUGUGAGACCUACAAGUCGAACAAAGACGAAAGUCGGCCUUAGUGAUCCGACGGUUCCGAGUGGAAGGGCCGUCGCUCAACGGAUAAAAGUUACUCUAGGGAUAACAGGCUGAUCUCCCCCAAGAGUUCAUAUCGACGGGGAGGUUUGGCACCUCGAUGUCGGCUCA